rnacentral:rRNA from 1 species
CAGGCCUAACACAUGCAAGUCGAGCGGAAACGGCAGUAUUGAAGCUUCGGUGGAUUUACUGGACGUCGAGCGGCGGACGGGUGAGUAACGGCUGGGAACCUGCCCUGACGAGGGGGAUAACCGUUGGAAACGACGGCUAAUACCGCAUAAUGUCUUAGUUCAUUACGAGCUGGGACCAAAGGUGGCCUCUACAUGUAAGCUAUCGCGUUGGGAUGGGCCCAGUUAGGAUUAGCUAGUUGGUAAGGUAAUGGCUUACCAAGGCAACGAUCCUUAGCUGGUUUGAGAGGAUGAUCAGCCACACUGGGACUGAGACACGGCCCAGACUCCUACGGGAGGCAGCAGUGGGGAAUAUUGCACAAUGGGGGAGACCCUGAUGCAGCCAUGCCGCGUGUGUGAAGAAGGCCUUCGGGUUGUAAAGCACUUUCAGCGGUGAGGAAGGUCGUGUACUUAAUACGUGCACGGCUUGACGUUAGCUGCAGAAGAAGCACCGGCUAACUCCGUGCCAGCAGCCGCGGUAAUACGGAGGGUGCGAGCGUUAAUCGGAAUUACUGGGCGUAAAGCGCAUGCAGGCGGUUUGUUAAGUCAGAUGUGUAAGCCCGGGGCUCAACCUCGGAACCGCAUUUGAAACUGGCAGGCUAGAGUCUUGUAG